rnacentral:rRNA from 1 species
AGUGAACGCUGGCGGUAGGCCUAACACAUGCAAGUCGAACGGCAGCACAGUAAGAGCUUGCUAUUACGGGUGGCGAGUGGCGGACGGGUGAGGAAUACAUCGGAAUCUACUUUUUCGUGGGGGAUAACGUAGGGAAACUUACGCUAAUACCGCAUACGACCUACGGGUGAAAGCAGGGGAUCUUCGGACCUUGCGCGAUUGAAUGAGCCGAUGGCGGAUUAGCUAGUUGGCGGGGUAAAGGCCCACCAAGGGGACGAUCCGUAGCUGGGCUGAGAGGGGGAGCCGCCACGCGGGAGCUGAGAGACGGUCCAGACUCCUGCGGGAGGCAGCAGUGGGGAAUAUUGGACAAGGGGCGCAAGCCUGAUCAAGCCAGACCGCGUGGGUGAAGAAGGCCUUCGGGUUGUAAAGCCCUUUUGUGGGGAAAGAAAAGCAGCAGGUUAAUACCCCGCUGUUCUGACGGUACCCAAAGAAUAAGCACCGGCUAACUUCGG